AGAGUUUGAUCAUGGCUCAGGAUGAACGCUAGCGGCAGGCCUAACACAUGCAAGUCGAGGGGCAGCAUUAAGAARUAGCAAUAUUUUUUAGAUGGCGACCGGCGCACGGGUGCGUAACGCGUAUGCAACCUGCCCUUAACCGGGGGAUAAUCCGAAGAAAUUUGGUCUAAUACCCCGUAACAGAUGAAACGGCAUCGUUUUGUUUUGAAAGCUUCGGCGGUUAAGGAUGGGCAUGCGUGAUAUUAGUUAGAUGGUGAGGUAACGGCUCACCAUGACUACGAUAUCUAGGGGAACUGAGAGGUUAAUCCCCCACACUGGUACUGAGACACGGACCAGACUCCUACGGGAGGCAGCAGUGAGGAAUAUUGGUCAAUGGAGGGAACUCUGAACCAGCCAUGCCGCGUGCAGGAGGACGGCUCUAUGAGUUGUAAACUGAUUUUGUACCGGGGUAAAAACACYUACGUGUAGGUGGUUGAAAGUACGGUACGAAUAAGGAUCGGCUAACUCCGUGCCAGCAGCCGCGGUAAUACGGAGGAUCCGAGCGUUAUCCGGAUUUAUUGGGUUUAAAGGGUGCGUAGGUUGUUUUAUAAGUUAGCGGUGAAAUACCGGUGCUCAACAUCGGGGCUGCCGCUAAUACUGUAGGACUUGAGAGGGGUUGCAGCAGGCGGAAUGUGUAGUGUAGCGGUGAAAUGCUUAGAUAUUACACAGAACACCGAUUGCGAAGGCAGCUUGCUAAGCCCGCUCUGACACUGAGGCACGAAAGCGUGGGGAUCAAACAGGAUUAGAUACCCUGGUAGU
rnacentral:rRNA from 1 species